UGUAACCUUGCUGUAGCCAUUGCUGUAAUGUGCCAGGUGUACUUGCAAUAAUCAGAGAAAGUGCGCACGAGUCAAAUCACACAGAGGGAGAGAGAGCACAACUCCUGGCUGCAGCUGAAGAAGGAGGACGAUUGAUUUCUGUCAGUUCGCUCUAACGUUACAGUUUGCUCCACUUUGCUCUGUGGUUUAUAUGUUUUCUUCUUACCAUUGCUUGUAAGCUGGAUUGAGUAAGAUGGAUCAUCUUUAAAGGAACCAGGAGUUAAGGCAGAUGUGGAGGCACACGGGUGACACCAGAUACACACCAAGCACAUUGUUCGGACAUUCAAUCAUGACAUGAUCCAUGUGGAUGCUGUCCAUUGAGGAAAGAGUUUGUUCAGAGGUUUCUGGACAGAAUUAAUCCCAAAGAUGGGAAAAAGUGCACAUCCACACAAGGAGCAAGCAAAAAGACAAGGAACUUGGUGCAGAGAAAAGCUGUGGCCAUUAACCCCCAUGUGAACAGCUUCAUGCAGUCCCUGAUAGAGUUUGAAUGGGCGACUUCAAACUAAAGGCCAGUGUCAGUCUGCCACAGUUUAAUGCAUUUAUUUUUAGUGUUCAAUAAAAUUCAAAUAGAAUAUUUAAAACUAUGGGCCAGUGUUCCUUUUACCACAGUUAAAUGUUACCUUUUAGUUGAUGAUGGACUUAAAACUUCAAACUAUGGAACAGUGUUCUUUUUACCACAGUGAAAUGUUACCUUUUAGUCGAUGAUGGACUUUAAACUGAAAACUUCAAACUAUGGACCAGUGUUCUAUUUGCCAGAGUUAAAUAUAUUACAGCAGGGGCCUCAAAACUUGUUUAUACUUUAUAAUAUUU